rnacentral:rRNA from 1 species
GAAGCGCCGGCUAACUACGUGCCAGCAGCGCGGUAAUACGUAGGGCGCGAGCGUUAUCCGGGAAUUAUUGGGCGUAAAGAGCUCGUAGGCGGUUGCCGCGUCUGCUGUGAAAGCCCGGAGCUCAACUCCGGGUGUGCAGUGGGUACGGGUAGACUGGAGUGCAGUAGGGGAGACUGGAAUUCCUGGUGUAGCGGUGAAAUGCGCAGAUAUCAGGAGGAACACCGAUGGCGAAGGCAGGUCUCUGGGCUGUUACUGACGCUGAGGAGCGAAAGCAUGGGGAGCGAACAGGAUUAGAUACCCUGGUAGUCCAUGCCGUAAACGUUGGGCACUAGGUGUGGGGAGCAUUCCACGUUUUCCGCGCCGUAGCUAACGCAUUAAGUGCCCCGCCUGGGGAGUACGGCCGCAAGGCUAAAACUCAAAGGAAUUGACGGGGGCCCGCACAAGCGGCGGAGCAUGCGGAUUAAUUCGAUGCAACGCGAAGAACCUUACCAAGGCUUGACAUGGACCGGAUCGCUGCAGAGAUGUAGUUUCCCUUCGGGGCUGGUUCACAGGUGGUGCAUGGUUGUCGUCAGCUCGUGUCGUGAGAUGUUGGGUUAAGUCCCGCAACGAGCGCAACCCUUGUCCUAUGUUGCCAGCACGUCGUGGUGGGGACUCAUGGGAGACUGCCGGGGUCAACUCGGAGGAAGGUGGGGAUGACGUCAAAUCAUCAUGCCCCUUAUGUCUUGGGCUUCACGCAUGCUACAAUGGCCGGUACAGUGGGUUGCGAUACUGUGAGGUGGAGCUAAUCCCUAAAAGCCGGUCUCAGUUCGGAUCGAAGUCUGCAACUCGACUUCGUGAAGUUGGAGUCGCUAGUAAUCGCAGAUCAGCAAUGCUGCGGUGAAUACGUUCCCGGGCCUUGUACACACCGCCCGUCAAGUCACGAAAGUUGGUAACACCCGAAGCCGGUGGCCUAACCCUUGUGGGGGGAGCCGUCGAAGGUGGGACUGGCGAUUGGGACUAAGUCGUAACAAGWGCWUCAAGGC